GCCGGUUUGGCUCAGUGGAUAGAGCAUUAGCCUGCAGACCAAAGGGUCCUGGGUUCGAUUCCGAUCAACGGCA
rnacentral:tRNA from 1 species